rnacentral:rRNA from 1 species
AUGGCGGAACGGGCCAAUCUGGUCUUUCAUAAUAAAGAGAUAGACGGAACUGGUAUGAAACGACUUAUUAGCAGAUUAAUAGAUCAUUUUGGAAUGGGAUAUACAUCCCAUAUACUGGAUCAACUAAAGACUCUGGGCUUCCAUCAAGCCACUACUACAUCGAUUUCGUUAGGAAUCGAGGAUCUUUUAACAAUACCCUCUAAGGGAUGGUUAGUCCAAGACGCGGAACAACAUAUUUUUCUUUUGGAGAAACACUAUUAUUAUGGGGCUGUACACGUGGUAGAAAAAUUACGCCAAUCUGUUGAGAUAUGGUAUGCGACAAGCGAAUAUUUGAAACAAGAAAUGAAUUCAAAUUUUCGGAUAACAGAUCCUUCUAAUCCAGUCUAUCUAAUGUCUUUUUCAGGAGCCAGAGGAAAUGCAUCUCAAGUACACCAAUUAGUAGGUAUGAGAGGAUUAAUGUCGGACCCUCAAGGACAAAUGAUUGAUUUACCUAUUCAAAGUAAUUUACGCGAGGGACUUUCUUUGACAGAAUAUAUAAUUUCCUGCUAUGGAGCCCGCAAAGGGGUUAUAGAUACUGCUGUGCGAACAGCAGAUGCUGGAUAUCUUACACGUAGUCUUGUUGAAGUAGUUCAACAUAUUAUUGUGCGUAGAAGAGAUUGUGGUACUAUCCGAGGUAUUUCUGUAAGUCCUCAAAAUGGGAUGACGGAAAAACUUUUUGUCCAAACACUAAUUGGUCGUGUAUUAGCAGACGAUAUA